GAUGAAGAACGCAGCGAAAUGCGAUACGUAAUGUGAAUUGCAGAAUUCAGCGAACCAUCGAAUCUUUGAACGCACAUUGCGCCCGCCAGUAUUCUGGCGGGCAUGCCUGUCCGAGCGUCAUUUCCCCCCUCACGCGCCCCGUUGCGCGCUGGUGUUGGGGCUCCUCCGCCUGGCGGAGGGCCCCGAAAGCGAGUGGCGGGCCCGGCUGGUUGGCUCCGAGCGCAGUACCGAACGCAAGUUCUCCCCUCGCUCAGACGCCCCGCCGGCGCCCUGCCGUCAAAACGCGCAUGACGUGCAACUCUUUUUACAAGGUUGACCUCGGAUCAGGUAGGACUACCCGCUGAACUUAAGCAUAUCAAUAAGCGGAUGA
rnacentral:misc_RNA from 1 species